UACAGAGGUCGCAAGCGUUAAUCGGAUUUACUGGGCGUAAAGCGUGUGUAGGUGGUUGUACAAGUCGGUUGUGAAAUCCCCGGGCUCAACCUGGGAACUGCUUCCGAGACUGCACGACUAGAGAUCGGUAGAGGGCGGUGGAAUUUCCGGUGUAGCGGUGAAAUGCGUAGAUAUCGGAAGGAACACCAAUGGCGAAGGCAGCCGCCUGGGCCUGAUCUGACACUGAGACACGAAAGCGUGGGGAUCAAACAGG
rnacentral:rRNA from 1 species